rnacentral:rRNA from 1 species
CCCGGGCCUUGUACACACCGCCCGUCACACCAUGGGAGUUGGUUUUACCCGAAGCCGGUCAUGCAAACCCGAGGAGGGGGCAGCCGACCACGGUAAGGUCAGCGACUGGGGUG